UACGUAGGGCGCAAGCGUUGUCCGGAAUUAUUGGGCGUAAAGAGCGUGUAGGCGGUCAGGUAGGUCCGUUGUGAAAACUCGAGGCUCAACCUCGAGACGCCGAUGGAAACCAUCUGACUAGAGUCCGGAAGAGGAGAGUGGAAUUCCCGGUGAUAGCGGUGAAAUGCGCAGAUAUCAGGAAGAACACCCGUGGCUAAGGCGGCUCUCUAGUACGGUACUGACGCUGAGACGCGAAAGCGUGGGGAGCGAACAGG
rnacentral:rRNA from 1 species